rnacentral:rRNA from 1 species
AUUGAACGCUGGCGGCAGGCCUAACACAUGCAAGUCGAACGAGUGGCGGACGGGUGAGGAAUGUCUGGGAAACUGGCUGAUGGAGGGGGAUAACUACUGGAAACGGUAGCUAAUACCGCAUACAAUCGGCCGUGCCCAGAUGGGAUUAGCUAGUCGGAGUGGUAAAGGCUCACCUAGGCGACGAUCCCUAGCUGGUCUGAGAGGAGGACCAGCCACACUGGAACUGAGACACGGUCCAGACUCCUACGGGAGGCAGCAGUGGGGAAGAUUGCACAAUGGGCGCAAGCCUGAUGCAGCCAUGCCGCGGGUAUGAAGAAGGCCUUCGGGUUGUAAAGUACUUUCAGCGGGGAGGCGUUACCCGCAGAAGAAGCACCGGCUAACUCCGUGCCAGCAGCCGCGGUAAUAC